UACAGAGGGUGCGAGCGUUAAUCGGAAUUACUGGGCGUAAAGGGUGCGUAGGCGGCUUUUUAAGUUUGGUGUGAAAUCUCCCGGCUCAACUGGGAGGGUGCGCCGAAUACUGAGAAGCUAGAGUGUGGGAGAGGAAAGUGGAAUUCCUGGUGUAGCGGUGAAAUGCGUAGAUAUCAGGAGGAACACCGGUGGUGUAAACGGCUUUCUGGACCAUAACUGACGCUGAGGCACGAAAGCGUGGGUAGCAAACAGG
rnacentral:rRNA from 1 species